rnacentral:lncRNA from 1 species
CCACUGGCUGGAGGUGCUGACUACUUUGGCUUUUUCCCUUGGGAGGUCAGACAGAGGUCAUGUGGGAAGCAUGCUUUGUUUACCCAGAGAGGACCUCCUGUUCUGCCCCUUGGCAUGUUUACUUUCCUGGUUGCCUACUUGGAAAGCCCUAUGACUGCUGGCAGGGAGAGCUCUGGUCACUUUCACUACCUUCUCAGAUUUUCAGCUCUUGGGGCUUCAGUAGGACCUGCCUUUCAGUAACUUUCAGAGGCAUGGGGAGCCCUUCCCUGAAAGAGAGGAGAAGGUGACAUCUUAGAAACUGUGAUAAAAUGAUCUCAGGACCCAAAAAGAAAAUGGACAAGCCUGGCAAUGAGAGUUUGCAAUGUGAUGCAAUCACGGGCAAUACCAGGGUGGAAAUUGGAUGGGCAGCUUUCUUCUCUCUAGAAGAUUUUCUUUCCAAGUCCAUUCUUUCUUUUCAUAUUUUCAUCAGCUUUGUUCGUAAUUGUCAAAACUUGGAAGCAACCAUGAUGCCGAUAUCCUUCAGCAAGUGAACAAAUAAAUUAACUGUGGUACGUCCUGACAAUGGAAUAUUAUUCAGCACUAAAAAGAAAUGUGCUAUCAAGCCAUGAAAAGCCAUGGAGGAAACUUAAAUGCAUAUUACUAAGUGAUAGAAGCCAAUCUGAAGAGGUUACAUACUCUGUAUUCCAAGUAUAUGACAUCUGGAAAUGACAAAACUAUGGACACCAUAAAAAGAUCAGUGGUUACCAGGGGUUGGGGAUUGGGGGAUGGAUACCUGGAGCACAGAGGAUUUUUAAGGCAGUGAAACUAGUCUAUAUGACACUAUAAAAAUGGAUACGUGUCAUUAUACAUUUGUCAAAGCUCAUAGGAUGUACAACAGCAAUAGCAAACUCUAAUGUAAACUGUGGACUUUGAGUGAUUAUGAUGUGUCAACAUAGGUUCAUCGGCUGUUAACAAAUGGACCCCUCUGAUGGAGCUAUAAAUAUGUGACAACUUGAAUUCUGCUUAAUGGACUUCCUUUCUUUCUUAUUUCCUUUCUUUCUUUCUUUCUUUUUUUCUUUUUUUUUUUUUUGGUUUGUUUCUUGCAUCUUAUGUUAUCUCUAUGGUAAGUUUAGCUAAAUGAAAAAUUCCCAGGAUUGUAAACUGAUUGAUUAGAAAUUAUUUGAUUUUUCUUUAUUUCAUUUUAUGUUACUUUUUAAGACCCAGUCAAGGAACAUUUCCAUAUGAUGUGCGUGUAUCCAUAGAAUUAUAUCAUGGCUGCAUAUGCAGUUUUAGCCUAUGCUAUAAAAUGCCUGCUUUUUAAAAAAAGACGUUAUUUUCUUAGAACAGUUUUAGGUUCACAGCAAAACUGAAAGGAAGUUACAGAGAUGUCCCAUAUACCCCUUGCCCCCGCCACACAUUUGAAACAUCUUUUCAAAUCUUUUCCUCAUUUAUUAAAUAGCUUGUUUUUCUCAUUAUUGAGUUGUGAUAUAUCUUUAUGUAUUCUGAAUAAAGUCCUUCGUCAGAUCUACAUAUUACGAAUAACUCCUCUCACUUCGUGGCUUGCUUUUUAAUGUUCAUAAUGUUGUCUUACAAAGAGAAAAAGGUUUUCAUUUGAUAAAAUACAAUUUUUUUAUUUUUAAAAUUUAUGAUUUUGUGUUUUCUGUGUUCUGUGUAAAAAUCUUUGCCUAUCCCAGGGAUACAAAGAUUUUUAUUCUUUUUUUAUAAGAAGUUUUAUAGUUAAGUUUUACCUUCAGGUCUGUGAUGUAUUUUAAGUUAAUUUUUUCAUAUGCCAUGAUGUAAGAGAUAAUGAUCCUUUUUAUACAGAUACCUGUGUGCUUUCACUCCAGCAGUAUAUAAUCGAUAAAUAUUUCUACAUAUAAUCUAUCUCUAUAUCUACAUUAAUCUAACAUGAAUUCAUAUUAAUGUCUCCUACUCUAAUCAAUUACCAUAUAGAUCAUUCUAGCUAUUGUCAGGUUUUAGAUUUUAGUAUAUAUAAUAGUACACUAGUUGUUACUGGGUUUUACUUAGUAAUUCCAUUUGUUUAAUAGCUAUAAAACUAUUCAGAAUUUCUCUUUCAUGUUGUAGUUUUGCUAAUUUUUACCUUUAAAGGAAUUUGUCCAUUUUAUUUAAGUUCUCAGGUUUAUUUUACUUCUGUUUUUUUGGUCCUUUCUGUGUUUCGGUAUCUGUCCUGAAGACGCCUGACUUGGUGCCUUUGCCUGACAACUCUUUAGUGUUUAACUAAAGGCAGCGAAACCAUCCCCAGACAUGAAUUGGCAUGAGCAGAAGAAUCACAUUAAAAGAUUGGCUAGAAAACCUAUUGCUGUUUAAAGAAAAGGAUUUAUUAAAAGUAAGAGCAUCAGUGGUGCAUCCUUAUGUCCUCCCUUUCUUAGAAAAUCAGUUUUCAUAAUUUCUCUUUGAAUCUGACAGGCUUUAAUUAUAUAACUGGUAGAGAAAUUUAACUUUGAUUUUCAACAUGCAAGAAAAAGAGCCAGGAAACUAUAUGUAUAUAUUAAUGUAUUAGCUAAUAUUUAGUGCAGAGAAGUACAAAGGAGAAAACAAGAGUUGGAUAAUUUUCCUUGUCAGAUAACUUUUUGGUAUUUUUAUAAAAUUAGCAAUGUAUGAGGCUAAAAAUAUACAAAAAUGUACAAGUCAAAAAAAUAAAAUUCUUUUCCUUUGUGCCCACCCCACCUCCCAGGCUUUCUCCAAAGUGUAACUGAUUGACGGUUUUAUAUAUCUUACAGUGGGGGUUGGAGGUCAUUGCAUGUCCUUGUGUCUU